GACGAACGCUGGCGGCGUGCUUAACACAUGCAAGUCGAACGAUGAACCCGGAGCUUGCUCCGGCGGAUUAGUGGCGAACGGGUGAGUAACACGUGAGUAACCUGCCCUUGACUCUGGGAUAACUGCGGGAAACUGUAGCUAAUACCGGAUACGACCCUCGGCGGCAUCGCCAGGGGGUGGAAAGAAUUUCGGUCAAGGAUGGACUCGCGGCCUAUCAGCUAGUUGGUGAGGUAACGGCUCACCAAGGCGACGACGGGUAGCCGGCCUGAGAGGGUGACCGGCCACACUGGGACUGAGACACGGCCCAGACUCCUACGGGAGGCAGCAGUGGGGAAUAUUGCACAAUGGGCGCAAGCCUGAUUCAGCAACGCCGCGUGAGGGAUGACGGCCUUCGGGUUGUAAACCUCUUUUAGUAGGGAAGAAGCGAAAGUGACGGUACUUGCAGAAAAAGCACCGGCUAACUACGUGCCAGCAGCCGCAGUAA
rnacentral:rRNA from 1 species